rnacentral:rRNA from 1 species
GGCCUUGACAUACUAAGAACUUUCCAGAGAUGGAUUGGUGCCUUCGGGAACUUAGAUACAGGUGCUGCAUGGCUGUCGUCAGCUCGUGUCGUGAGAUGUUGGGUUAAGUCCGCAACGAGCGCAACCCUUUUCCUAUUUGCCAGCGGGUCAUGCCGGGAACUUUAAGGAUACUGCCAGUGACAAACUGGAGGAAGGCGGGGACGACGUCAAGUCAUCAUGGCCCUUACGGCCAGGGCUACACACGUGCUACAAUGGUCGGUACAAAGGGUUGCUACCUCGCGAGAGGAUGCUAAUCUCAAAAAGCCGAUCGUAGUCCGGAUCGCAGUCUGCAACCCGACUGCGUGAAGUCGGAAUCGCUAGUAAUCGCGGAUCAGAAUGCCGCGGUGAAUACGUUCCCGGGCCUUGUACACACCGCCCGUCACACCAUGGGAGUUUGUUGCACCAGAAGUAGGUAGUCUAACCGCAAGGAGGACGCUUACCACGGUGUGGCCGAUGACUGGGGUGAAGUCGUAACAAGGUAGGCGUAGAUGA